AACGAACGCUGGCGGCAGGCCUAACACAUGCAAGUCGAACGCUCUAGCAAUAGAGAGUGGCAGACGGGUGAGUAACGCGUGGGAAUCUUCCUAUCGGUACGGAAUAGCCCAGGGAAACUUGGGGUAAUACCGCAUACGCCCUUCGGGGGAAAGAUUUAUCGCCGAUAGAUGAGCCCGCGUCUGAUUAGCUAGUUGGUGAGGUAAUGGCUCACCAAGGCGACGAUCAGUAGCUGGUCUGAGAGGAUGACCAGCCACACUGGGACUGAGACACGGCCCAGACUCCUACGGGAGGCAGCAGUGGGGAAUAUUGGACAAUGGGCGCAAGCCUGAUCCAGCCAUGCCGCGUGAGUGACGAAGGUCUUCGGAUUGUAAAGCUCUUUUGGCGGGGACGAUAAUGACGGUACCCGCAGAAUAAGCCCCGGCUAACUUCGUGCCAGCCGCCGCGGUAA
rnacentral:rRNA from 1 species